rnacentral:rRNA from 1 species
GUGAACGCUGGCGGUAGGCCUAACACCUGCCAGUCGCACGGCAGCACAGUAAGAGCUUGCUCUUCCGGGUGGCGAGUGGCGGACGGGUGAGGAAUACAUCGGAAUCUACUUUUUCGUGGGGGAUAACGUAGGGAAACUUACGCUAAUACCGCAUACGACCUACGGGUGAAAGCCGGGGAUCUUCGGACCUUGCGCGAUUGAAUGAGCCGAUGUCGGAUUAGCUAGUUGGCGGGGUAAAGGCCCACCAAGGCGACGAUCCGUAGCUGGUCUGAGAGGAUGAUCAGCCACACUGGAACUGAGACACGGUCCAGACUCCUACGGGAGGCAGCAGUGGGGAAUAUUGGACAAUGGGCGCAAGCCUGAUCCAGCCAUACCGCGUGGGUGAAGAAGGCCUUCGGGUUGUAAAGCCCUUUUGUUGGGAAAGAAAAGCAGCAGGUUAAUACCCCGCUGUUCUGACGGUACCCAAAGAGUAAGCACCGGCUAACUUCGUG